rnacentral:rRNA from 1 species
AUUGAACGCUGGCGGAAUGCUUUACACAUGCAAGUCGAACGGCAGCACGGACUUCGGUCUGGUGGCGAGUGGCGAACGGGUGAGUAAUGUAUCGGAACGUGCCCAGUCGUGGGGGAUAACGUAGUGAAAAUUACGCUAAUACCGCAUACGAUCUAUGGAUGAAAGCGGGGGAUCGCAAGACCUCGCGCGAUUGGAGCGGCCGAUAUCAGAUUAGGUAGUUGGUGGGGUAAAGGCCCACCAAGCCAACGAUCUGUAGCUGGUCUGAGAGGACGACCAGCCACACUGGAACGGAGACACGGUCCAGACUCCUGCGGGAGGCAGCAGUGGGGAAUUUUGGACAAUGGGCGAAAGCCUGAUCCAGCCAUGCCGCGUGCAGGAUGAAGGCCCUCGGGUUGUAAACUGCUUUUGUACAGAACGAAAAGGUUUCUACUAAUACUAGGAGCUCAUGACGGUACUGUAAGAAUAAGCACCGGCUAACUACGUGCCAGCCGCCGCCGUAA